rnacentral:rRNA from 1 species
GUCCACGCCCUAAACGAUGGCAACUGGGUGUUGGGGAAGCGAUUCCUUGGUACCGUAGCUAACGCGUGAAGUUGCCCGCCUGGGGAGUACGGCCGCAAGGUUAAAACUCAAAGGAAUUGACGGGGACCCGCACAAGCGGUGGAUGAUGUGGAUUAAUUCGAUGCAACGCGAACAACCUUACCUACCCUUGACAUGUCUGGAACCCUGCUGAGAGGUGGGGGUGCCCGAAAGGGAAUCGGAACACAGGUGCUGCAUGGCUGUCGU